UCUUCCCACUGCUGAGACCCUUUCUCUGUCUUUCCCACAUCGGAGGCAUCGGCCAGUGCCAGUGAAGUAAGGAGGAGGAACCGACUGCUGGAAGGGACGGUAACCUGGCUGGAGCAGAAGCAGCAACAGAAGUAGCAGAAGGUGUGUGUCUGGCUGUGGCAGUCCACCCAUCAGGUCCUGAAGGAGACCAGGGAGUCUACAUGGGAAGCCUAAAUCCCACCAGGCUCAACGGAGGAGGAGGAGGAGGAGGAGGCAGGUUUAAAAAAAG